rnacentral:lncRNA from 1 species
AAAGAAAAAAAAAAUUGAAGGAAUUGGUUUGAGCUAAAGAUUUGGGAGAGAAAAUAUACGACUAAUUAGGUAAAAUUUUCAAAUUUAUUUUUACAAUAAGUAUUUUAAUUGAAAAAAAGGUGUAAAGAGUUAAUCUAUGAUUUAAGGACGUGUCUGCGUUAAAAAAAUGAGGGUGCCCGAAUAUCUAUAUGUGUGUGUAAUUAUGACUGUGCUAAAAUAAUAAAUACUCGAAGUCGGAAAUUAAUUGAUCCAUUUUAAUAACAAUAGUGAUAAGAUUCUAAUAUUUGAGUCUUAAUUUAAAUUCUAAUAUUAUGUGUUACUUAUUUAUUAGAAUAUAGAUUAAAAUUAUUUACUCACCAUCUAAUGAAUGAAUACCACAUUAGUUUUGAUUCAAAUUUAUGACUUAAAUACUAUGAUACCUAAUAUUACUCUUUUAAUACCAAGAAAAUUAGCUUCAGCUAUCCCCACAUCACCAUGGAAAUGAGUCCGAACUCUAAACCAAACAAAUUACCAAUUUCGUUAGAAAUUAAAUCAAUCCAAAUCUAAUUCGAUUGGAACGAAUGGAUAUUAUUUGCCUAAAUGUGAAAUUGCGACUUUUCUCCUACCCUUUAAGCCAUGUCAUUUUCUUUCAUUCUAGUACAUGACAUGCGCUUCAAUGGAAGAUUUGUUCAUGAUUGGACGCGUUCGCUAUGAUAAUUAAUUAGGGAUGGCAAUGGGGAGGGGAGGGGAGGGGACCAAUCUCCCCAUACCCAUCCCCGAUAUUUUGCAUAUGUCCCCGUCCCCGUCAAAAUUGCUUGAGAGAAUCUCCAUCCUCUCCCCGAAUAAUAACAGGGGAUCCCCGAGGGUCCCCGGUCCCCGAAUAAUUAAUAGUCUAAUAUAUUUUUUAUUUUCGAUUUUAAAUUAAUCAUAUUAAAAUAAACUCAUACCGCUAUUGUAAGCUCGUAACCAACUUUGACAGCACAUUAAGGCCUCCAAUGUGCUUGGAUGAAGUUUGUUACGGUGUGAGCUCACAACUCUACCACCGGUGCUAAAAGCUGAUUCAGAAGCAACUGUUGUAAUUGGAAUUGCCAAAAUAUCUCUAGCAAUUCGAGCUAAUGUAGGAUACGAAUUAGGAUUAGAACUGUUGUAAAUUAUAAUUAGGCAGCUCUCUCCUGUAUCAUUGUGGUUUGGAUUAAAAAUUUAAGACUUUAAUUAGUUAAUUAAGUUUAAAAGUUUAAUAAUAUAACUAUUUUAAUAUUUAUUAUUUUUAACAAUAUUUAUAAUUUUGUUAUUUAUUUAUUAGUAAUUUUAAAAAUAAAAAUAAAAUUAAAAAUUAAAAUGGGGAAAUGGGUAGGGGAUGGGGAUUCCACCUCAUCCCCGUCCCCUCCCUGAAUAAAAAGUUGGGUAAAAAAUUUUUCCCGUCCCCUCCCUGAAAAAAAAAUUGGGUAUAAAAUUAUCCCCGUACCCUCCCCGAAUGGGAAAAAUCCCUGAGGGUACCCAUCCCCGUGGGGAUUUUUGCCAUCCCUAUAAUUAAUUGCAUUUAUUAACAGUGCUUAUAUCGUUAUUAGUUCAAUUUAAUUUGACAUGAAAUUUGACGUAUAUGGAUGGAGAUAGAUAAGCCCUCACGAAAUAAAUUUAUGAGUCACAUCCAUAUAUUUUUUAUGAGAAUACAUUAAUAGUAUGUUUAUUGAUCAAUAAAUGAGAAUGGAUUAGAAUUGGAAUGAACUAAAAUUAUAAUGAGAUAAUAUUAUAAUAGAAAAUAAAAAUUAGAAUAGAUUAUUUAUUUUAACUAUUAAAAUUGAAAUCGAAAUGAGUUGUAUUAUCAUUAAUGUGUUUACUUUAUUUUACAAUUUGAAUGAAUUAUUAUAAUUUAAUAAAAUACCUUUAAUUUAUUAUUACCAUUAUUUUUAUUAUUAUUAUUAUUAUUUUAUUAUUAUUAUUAAGAAAAUUAUUGUUAAUAAUAACAAUAGUUGUUGUUACUGCUGUUGUUGUUAUUAUUAUUUUCUCCCUCUUUUGUUUAUUUUCUUUUUCUCCUCUUCUUUUUCUCUUUUUUCUUUUUAUCUCUCUUUUUGUAAAUUCUUCGUUACUUCUUCUCUUUCUUCUUUCGUUUUAAAUUUUUAUUUUUCUAUUCUACAUCGUUUCUUCUUCUUCUUCUUCUUCUUCUUCUUCUUCUUCUUCGCUGUCUAUUAUUUGUCUUCAAUCUCUUUUUUCUUUUUUUCUUUUUCUCUUUUUCAUUACCUAUUCUUCUUCGUUUCUUUUUUUUUUUAAUUUAUUUUCUCUUCUUUAUUGUUUCUUCUUCUUCUUCUCCAUCUAUUCUUCAUCUUCAAAUUAAACCGAUGGUGCCACGCGAUGAAUGACGACGUGAUUCCAACGUGCUGUGCUACGAGAUUUGGGUUUGGUUGCUGUGAGAUUUAGGAUUCGAUUGCUUGCUGUGAUUUUCAUUUUGAUUUUUUUGAUUUUUGAUUUUUUUAUUAUUUAAAGGGUAAAAUUUUAUUUAAUCUCUAUAUUUUGAGGUUAGUACCCGUUCAGUCCCUAUAUUUUUAAAAAUAACUCAAAACAUCCCGAUAUUAAAUUAUUAGCACAUUUCCUCUUACUUUUUAUUGCUUUUGGCUUAAUUUUUAUAAUAUUACCCUCUUAUAAUUUUUUUUUGGACAUUAGUAAAAAGAAAAAAAAUUAAUUAUCAAUUUAAUCUUAAAAAAUAAAAUAGAAUCAAAAUUAAUAUAUGUUGCUAUUUUGAAACACACUGAGGAAUUAAUAUAUUAAUUUUUUUAUUAUUAAUGUCCAAAAAAAUAGGUAAUUUAAUUAUUUUACAAUAAAUUUUUUUUUGACACACGUAAACUUUCACAAAAUUUAAUAUAUAUUCUUUUUGUUUUUAUUUUAUUUUUGGGGUUAAAUUGAUAAUUUAAUUUUUUUAUUAAUUUUAUAAAAAGAAAUAUUAUUGUAAGAGGGUAAUAUUAUAAAAGCAAGUCAAAAUAAAUAAAAAGUAACCGCAAGGAUGUCAAUAAUUUAAGGGUGGAGAUGUUUUGAGACAUUUUAAAAAAUAUGGAGACUAAAUUGACACUAAUAUUAAAAUAUAGGGAUGCAAUAAGCUUUUACCCUUAUUUAAAAAAAUGAGAAAGUUAUAAUAAUGUAAUUGAAGAGGGGGUAUUUUAAGAAAUUCUAGACAUGAGAGUCUGAUUCUCAAGCUGACUUAGAAAUCAAACUCCAUAAUGAUUAUUAACUUGGUGUGGGCUCUACGAAAAUGAAUCUUAUUCCUUCCCUCAUUCAUCAAAUAAAUGUUGGUUUCAUUCUGAUUCGAAAUUCCCAUUAUUGAAUUUGGAAAAUAAACUCACCAUAAAAUGAAUAUAUACAAUGUGUGGUUUAAUUCUCUAAAAAGUUUCCACUUUGACAUAAGGCGGAUCAUAAUUGAAAAAAAAUAAUAAUAAGCCAAGAGAGAUAACACAUUUUCCUUCUAUCAUCCUCUUCAAAUGCUUUAAGCCAAGAUCAAAUAUAAAGUUUUUAUGUAACUUUAUAUUUAGGUUAUUGUGAAAACAAAUAAUAAUUGUAAUGGAUUGUGCUUAUGCAUAGUUGUUUAUUUGUAUAAAACUUAGGUCUUAUUUUAUAGAGAAAAAAAAAUUAUAUUCUCCUGCUAAUAUGUCAAAAGUUUACUUACAACCAAUCUUAAAUGGGUUGUUGUAAACUCGUGGGUAAAAUGAUGAAUAUACAUUUCUCUCUAUAAAAGUAUUCCUCCGAUUUUAUAGAUAAAAUUUAUUGCAGUUUUGUUUUUGAACAUAAUUUUGUAAGAAAAAGAAAUUGUUUAACAAAAUCUCGCAAUAGCUGACUAUCAUUUAUAUGUUAAAUAUAUAAGUUCGAAGUAACUCUUAAACUAAUUUUUUUAGUGUAAACUAGGCUCAUAGCCUUAAGGUCUUUAGGUUUAAAAAUGAAUAAGGAAAUUAUGCAGGGAUUUCUAUUGAAGUUUAGUCAUUUUACUACUGUGGCACAUACUCUUUACAAAAACUUAUUCUAAACUCCUUAAAUUUGUAAAAUUUCGCUAUAGUUAUGUUGAACUAAAUCAUGAGUCCACCAGUCAUGAUCUCCCAUGUAAUUUUAUGCAUGAGGUAGGAAGUCAUCGUAAAGAGGAUAGCUAGUCCACAAACAUAAUAAAACCACUCAAUAUGUUAAACUAUAUAUAGAUAUUUUUGGAGAAUUCCACGCGUUUAACGGGAUACCGAGAUCUAGUUUACUAUUAAAAUUGAACAGCUAAAUUUUAAAAAUUUCAACAUUUAACUAUUUGAUAAAUACUAUAUGGUACGAUUUAAAAAUUGAUUUAAUUUGAUCAUACACUUAUAUAAUGAAAACUUAUUAUAUUUUUAAAAAAAUCAUUAUUUAAAAAUUAUAUUUAUAGCAUCUUAUCAAAUUUUAUUUAAAAUUUAACAUUAUUGUUCGCUUGUGGUAGAAGUGUGGUUGCUUCUCUUUACGAAGAGCCCUUUAAUUUCCAUAAUGAGUUUUUUAAUAGGUUAGGGCAGCAGGAUCACGUCCCCACGAUGGAUUUGUUUGGUGUAGGUGAUCAGUUCUAAUUAAUUAAUACUUAAAAGAUAAUUUAAUAUUAUAAUUUUAAGUUUUUGUUUCAUUAUUAAUAUAUAAAUUAGAGAUUUAACAUUUUUUAAUUUUUAAAUUUAAAUUUAUUAUUUAAAUUUAUAAUUUUUUUUUUUUUUAAAAAAAAGAGGGAGUGAGUCUAGUUUGGGCUUUUUUCCUAAAUCUUUAUACAGACUCUCAUGUGGAAGGCUUGAGUCAAAGUCCUUGCCAAUGGGCCGGACCGCCCGGACUUUUUUGCGAAUUGGUCCUUGAGUAAUGAUGGGUCUUCAUUGCGAAAGGCGGGUGGUGGACAUACGUCCGUCAGCUAGUCAAACAUUGCGUUGAGCCAUUUAUCAGGGGACGUGUCAAUGUGACAUUGGUCUGUUUGUGGGUCCACAAUUUAUCAUCUUACGCUUACCUCACAUACGGGCCGGGCUUACCAGACUGAGCUUUGUCUAUUGGACUAGGUUGGCCUUGAUUUAUGGGCUAAAUUGCUCGCGUAAAUUAAUGAUCUUAUCCUACUACCUUGGACUAGGCUUUACUAACGUUCCCCACAAACAAUGCCUAUGAUGGGUUUGUAGAGCCUGAUAUUCAGUAGAAGAGUGAAUUCCUUCCCCCGUUCGUAUUAUUUCUAAUUUAGCCCAUCCAAGAAAAGAAAUUAUAACCAAAAAAAGUAUUUAUAGUGUAAAAUUACUAUAUUUUAAUCAAAACUCUAGGAAGAAAAUAAAAUCAAACACUUCCUCAAAAAUACAAAAAGGGGAUUAGAGCUGCAAAUGCAUACACCCCUCGGACAAUUACUCGAAAAGGAGGAUCACGUGUCCACUUUAUCACCUUAACCUGGUCCCUACCACCAGUUCGCAUCCACGUGUCAAAAUCACACAUGAGAAAUUCAAUUCUGAUGCGGUGGAGAUGGAGGAUGGGACCCACCACAUGAUUGCCUUUUACACGCUUCUUUUAAGCUACCGAUGCGUGAUUUGCGCGCGUGAUUAAAAAAAUAAAAGAAAAACCUCUCACUCUUUACUCUUUACCCUUUGGUCUUUAGUUUAGGGAUGACAAUGGAUUAGAUCUGAUCUAAGAUUCACGUUAUCUAAAUUUAAUCGGAUCAGAUUUAGAUCGAUUUAAAAUAGAUUUAGAUUGGAUUUGAAUAUUGAUGUGUGGAUUUAAAACGGAUCUAGAGCAGAUCUGGAUCUAUCUUAAUAUCUAAAUUCAUAUUCAUAUCCACUCAUUUUUUUAUUUUAUUUUAAAAGUUUCUUAACAAUUGUAAAAUUAUAAUGAUAAUAAAUUUUAUUCAUAGCAUAUUAGUAGUAUUUACUAUGCAUUUAAACUCUUAAAACUUAAAAGUUAGUUUUGUAAAUUUAAAGGUCAACCAGCCCCAAAGCAUGUACAUGUAAUAUUCAAAUUGCAAGUCAAGUAAUAUAACAUAGAAAUUUAUUUUAUUAUAUUGGCCAAAUAAUUUUUAAGGAAUAUAGUUAUUCAUAUAUUUAGUCAUAUAUGGACAUAAUAAAAAUAAUAAAUGACUGAAUAUAAAUCAUAUUUAAUUUGUAUGCCAUUAUCUAAUGUUGUAGGAAUGACGAUAGAUGUAUCGUGGAGAUUAGAAUGAUAAAGGAGACAAUAGAAUAUUAUAUUGAUCUUACUCCUGCAAUUACUUAUGAAUGAUAUUUUAUUAUCUUUCUUAUUUGUUGUUUUGGUAUAAAAGUAUAAGCUACAUAUUAUAUUUUUGAGAAAAAUUAUAUAAUUUAUUUGUUAUCAAUUCAUUUUAGCCUUCUAAAAAAUUAUUACUUUUUUUAUUAUUAAAUUUUCACCCCUCGGACAAUUACUCGAAAAGGAGGAUCACGUGUCCACUUUAUCACCUUAACCUGGUCCCUACCACCAGUUCGCAUCCACGUGUCAAAAUCACACAUGAGAAAUUCAAUUCUGAUGCGGUGGAGAUGGAGGAUGGGACCCACCACAUGAUUGCCUUUUACACGCUUCUUUUAAGCUACCGAUGCGUGAUUUGCGCGCGUGAUUAAAAAAAUAAAAGAAAAACCUCUCACUCUUUACUCUUUACCCUUUGGUCUUUAGUUUAGGGAUGACAAUGGAUUAGAUCUGAUCUAAGAUUCACGUUAUCUAAAUUUAAUCGGAUCAGAUUUAGAUCGAUUUAAAAUAGAUUUAGAUUGGAUUUGAAUAUUGAUGUGUGGAUUUAAAACGGAUCUAGAGCAGAUCUGGAUCUAUCUUAAUAUCUAAAUUCAUAUUCAUAUCCACUCAUUUUUUUAUUUUAUUUUAAAAGUUUCUUAACAAUUGUAAAAUUAUAAUGAUAAUAAAUUUUAUUCAUAGCAUAUUAGUAGUAUUUACUAUGCAUUUAAACUCUUAAAACUUAAAAGUUAGUUUUGUAAAUUUAAAGGUCAACCAGCCCCAAAGCAUGUACAUGUAAUAUUCAAAUUGCAAGUCAAGUAAUAUAACAUAGAAAUUUAUUUUAUUAUAUUGGCCAAAUAAUUUUUAAGGAAUAUAGUUAUUCAUAUAUUUAGUCAUAUAUGGACAUAAUAAAAAUAAUAAAUGACUGAAUAUAAAUCAUAUUUAAUUUGUAUGCCAUUAUCUAAUGUUGUAGGAAUGACGAUAGAUGUAUCGUGGAGAUUAGAAUGAUAAAGGAGACAAUAGAAUAUUAUAUUGAUCUUACUCCUGCAAUUACUUAUGAAUGAUAUUUUAUUAUCUUUCUUAUUUGUUGUUUUGGUAUAAAAGUAUAAGCUACAUAUUAUAUUUUUGAGAAAAAUUAUAUAAUUUAUUUGUUAUCAAUUCAUUUUAGCCUUCUAAAAAAUUAUUACUUUUUUUAUUAUUAAAUUUUAAAAUUCAUGACGGACUAGAGCAGAUUUAGAUUUUUUUUUUUCAGAUUUGGAGCAGAUAUAGAUAUUUAUUUCUUUUUUAAAUUUAGAUAUGGAGCGAAAAAUAUAAAUUCAUGAUAGAUCUGAAGCAGAUAUAAAUCUUGAUAUUUAUUAUAGAUUUAAAUCUAAAACAGAAUAAAUCCAACCCAUAUCUGUCGCAUUAACAUCUCUACUUUAGUCUCGUACUCUCUCUCCUGCGAUUGCUUCGAUCUUUCGUAAAGACAUUUAAAAAUAAAAAUUAAAAAAAAAAUCUAGAAAUGAUCAAAAUAAAUCGUUGAAAAGUCAGACGAGUUGGAAUCUCAUGGAAGCCAGCCAUGACACAACACUACACUGGAUCUAAUGCUUAGUCAAAGUCAAACCGCCGGCUACUCCUUUUCUUUCCCGUCAACAACCGCAGCCUACUUUUUCUAUUUUAUUUUCUUCUUUUUUUCAUAUUUUUUAUUUCACUCAUUUAUUUGUAUUCCUUUUUUUUUGUAUGAAUGAUCCAUCGUAAAUAAAAUUUUGAGCAAAUGAAAAAAAAAAUCUAAAUAAUUCAUUGGUUCUAAAGACCCAAAUAAUAUUAACAUCGUCAAAUCAGGGUAAUGAUUGCAUUUGUUUUGACAGUAUAAAUAGGAAUUAGAAUGAAAAUUUCCCAUCUUGUAAUUAUAAUAACAAAAGAAGAAAACCAAGUUUGACGUAUAGAACUUCAGCUUAUAGCUCGUGCAUACCUUUUAUCCAACACGUUACUCACUAAAGUUGAACUCAUUUGAAAAAUACAGAAACAUAAACGAGUUAGUCAUAAUAUGAAUACAAUACAAAUAAAUAUCUGUUGACUAUAUGUAUUAUCUUUAAUUUUUUAUGUAAUAAUCAAAUAUCAAAAGCUUAAAUAGAAACGCAAUUUAAUAUCACAUUCACAAACUCCAUAAACUAUCGUUGAAAAGUUCAAAUUAAUAAUUUCUUUUCACAACUUACAUUUGUCUUUAAUAAAAGUCUAUUGAAACCUACCUCAUAAAUAAAUAUUACAAACACACACAAAAUAAACUUCUUUCCACAUAUAAGAUAUAUAUAUAUAUAUAUAAAGAAAAGAAAAGCGAUUUCCUAUUAGUUGGUCGAUAAUUCUCAAAAAUUAUAAUUAAUGCUAUAACAAUUUAUGUGAUACAUAUAAUUUUUAACGACAAAAUUAUUUUAUAAAUGGUAUUGUUCCAAUAAGAAAUAUUCCUAAAACACAAGAAAAAUGCAUACUCUUAUAUAUUUUGGAUAAAAUAAUUUGUAUUAAAAUGUUUUUUUUUUUUUUACUUUCUAGUUUAUUUUUGAAUUCCUUAUCAAAUAAUAACUCAUUAUAUAAAUAUCAAUAAAUAUUUUCAUAAAAAUAGUGUUCGAGGUUGUACCUUAUCUCUUGAUAUAAAAAUAUUCUACUCUAUUACCAAAAUUCGAUUCACUUUACGUAAACAUCCAAUCAGCGUUAAAAACGACACCGUUCAUCCCAAUUUAGGAACAUAACCACCAUCAUUAGUUCACUGCACCUUCUACAAAUACCAGCAACCACCCCUCUCCUUCUCCCCUUUCCCCCUCCACCGUGGCAUCUUGUUCGCUCUAAUCUGUUCGGACGAUUCGUUCAGGUAAUAAAACGCUGCGUUUCAGUUUCUAAAUUUAGAUCGUGUAGAUCUGGUCCUCUGUAUCUCCCGUUACCGUUCAAAUAAUUCUGUUACCAGUCAAAAUUCAGAUCUGGCCUUUAAUAGCUGUAUAAUCCAAAACAAUAAUAAAGGGAAGAAUUUGUUAGCAUGUUUUAUCUGUCUAUUUGUCUCCUUUAAAUUCGAUGCCUGAGAAGUUUUCACUUGCUCUAAAAUCGAAAUCGAACCGUUUCGUGUUGAAUCGAUUCGUUCGAUUUUCGAGAGUUUUGUAGUUUGAUUAGUGGAUGAAGUAGUUCGAAGUUUUUUUUUUUUCAAGGUUUGUUGUUUGUGUCUAGAUCUGUUGAACUCAUGAGUUAAUCUCGUCGUUUUCUGUUUUGUUCCCUCGAAAUAUGUGUUUUCCCUUCUGAUUUUUUUAAUGAUUUUGCCUAAUUUUUCUCGAGAAUUAAAGAGAUUUAUGAAUUGGGUUUGAUAUUUUAGUUUCAGAUGUUGAUUUAACAGGAUGAGAAAAUACGAAAAUUCGGCCUUGUUUGAGGUUCUGUUGAUGAUUUUGUCUAACUUUCUUGGCUACCAAACAGAAUUUUGAAUUAGUUUUCAUAUUUUUCUGUUCGAUGUUGAUUAUUUUUGUGAAUGAAUCAGCCGAUUUGUUAUUUGCUUUGCAGAGAAAAAUAUUUAUUUAUUUUUUUGUAAUUUCUUUGCUUGAUUUUUAUUUUUUUAUUUUCAUGCUAGACGUUGAUCAUCAUAGUUGAACAUGAUUUUGAUUUUUUUUUCUCUUUUUUCUUUUGGUGAAAAAAUCUCCUGAUUUUCUGCUGGGUUCCUAAGAGAAUUUUCUGUUGUUUUUCCUGAAACAAGAGAGACAUGUGAUUUGAGUUCUAUAUUUUAUUGUAACAGAAGCUGAUCUUUUGAUUUUUUUUUUUCUUUUGAACAGGCGUUUUUCUGUUUAUUAAAGCGGGUUUUUGAAGAUGAACCAGUUCUAUUAUCAGAAGAACGCCUUUGGCGCACACGAGGAGAGGUGUGACUCGUUCUCCGUCUCUGGUCAGAGGGAGUCUGUUGUUUGCCCUAAGCCUCGCCGUGUUGGAAUUUUGUCUAAUAUUCAUAACAGGCCAUUGAGAAGGCACAUGAGGUAAAAAUAAUGUUGUCUUUUUCAAAUGAUCUGUGUAUACUCUUUUGAGUUUGUUGAAGAUUAGUUUAGUUCUAAGAAAGUUUUGAUUUUUUUGCAGUCAUCCAGUUGAGGUGUCUGAUUCAAAAGCUGGGGCUGAGCUUCUAGACAUUAUUCUCAUGAAGGUAUUCACUUGCCGCUUUUGUCUAACUUGUAUCUGAGAGAUAUGUAUGAUCAUUUUGUGAUUGUUAUCCAUGUAGAAAUUGAUUUGAAUAGAUAGAAAGUUGCUUAGAAAUAAUCAAUCUAUUGCUUUUGUUUAUUUGAGUGCCAUACUUAUGGUAGGUGGGAUUGUUUUGUCAAAUUCUUUCAUGAUGGAACACAUUAAAUGGUGCUGGUCUGAUUUGUAUAUGCUUGUUUUGAACAUUAUAGGAGGGUCAUGGGGUGGAUCAAACUGCUUCCCAGGCAGCAUCUUCACCACCUUUUUUCUGUGGGUCUCCUCCAAGCAGGGCUGCCAACCCUUUAAUCCAAGAUGCCCGUUUUGGAGACGAGAAACUUAGUCCUUUGUCUUCAUUGCAAGUGCCACCCCCUUCUGGUUUACCAUCUCCAUCGUCAUCAGCACGUAAGGCCGGAUGUGCUAGAAUGAACUUUGGGCUUAAACCAGCCACUGUUAGAGUAGAAGGAUUUGAUUGCCUGAACAGGGAUCGCCAAAAUUCCAGCAUCCCUGCUAUGGCUUAGAACUGCAUAAAAGAUGAAAAAAGAAGCUGUAUAUAGAGAAGGAAGCUGAGCGCCAACAUAAUUCAACAAAGCACAGCAGACCUAACACGAGGGAGUUUUGAAUAUUUUUGAAGAGAAUGUAAGAAGAUAUGGUAGUAGUGUAUGUAUAUAUGUAAAAUGUGUUUUUCCAUUUUUAUUUUUUUUUUUUUGGCCGGUGAUCUAUCUCAUUGCUAAUAUCUCUGUAAGUAUUUUGAUUGAGCAAAUGAAAGAGAACGGCAACUCGGGGACGUUUUGAAGAGCUUGGCAUGGCCGGCUCUUCUUGUAAUAUAAGAUUUAGUAUUGGGAGGGAGUUGUGAUAAAGGAAAAUUUGUAUAGAGGGCUAUUGCCUAUUGGUGACUUAAUGUUAGUCAUUGACGCAUGUAAAUGUAUUUUGGCAGUUGUUAAUGGCCUGGCUUCCGUUCUUUCCUUGCAGUUUUUCUCUCUUCCUCUCUUCUGCUAAUUGCUAAAAGGGUACUCGAGUGAUGUUUGGACAUUUAUAUUUUAUAUUGAAUUUUGAAUUUUUUAAUUUUUAAAUGGCUAUUGUGUAUGAAAAAAAAUCAUCGGAUGAGAUGGGAUUUUAUCGAUGACUUCUAAGGAAUGAUCUCAUGUUCUGGACAGAUUGUGGAGUUGUGUGUUAUAUUAAAUAAUAAAUAAUAGCACAGCGGGGCAUGCAUGCAUGCAUGAAUAGGUUUGGGGUCAUUUUAUGUGAUUUUUCUAUUCGAGCGUUGGCCGCCUGAAUGAUUAGUCAAGUGAAUCAAAUUUGAAUUGGUCUCUCUUUGACGAGAACCAGUCGGUCAUCUACUAAUAUACUUUAUGAAUAAUAUAUUUUAUGUUAUUUUUCCUAAAGGUUUUGGAGACUCGCAAUUAUGUGGACUUCCAUGAUAUGUUCACAAAUGCUUAGCUGAGCAAAUAUACAAAAACUAUGUACCGUAGGGCAACGUGAUUUGGUCAAUUCCGCUGUGGCUGGGACCCCUCGAGAUGAAGCUAAACAAUCAUCUUUUCAUUGUUUUGUUUAUUCUCUUCUCUGUUGUGGUUCCGUGUGUGACCAGAUUAAGUGUAUCAUUGCCAUUGGGAUAUUUUGCUUCGUGCAAAUUCAACUAAUGCCUGAUUUUUUACGAAAAAAUUUCGGUGUUUCCUAUCCCCGGAGUUUAAAUUUCUGUAAUUUGGGCUUGGGACAGAGGCCCUUGGUUCCCAUUAGGCCGCGGCUCUAUUUCUUGGGCUUUUAAUAAUCUAAAUACUGAGUUUGUGUUGGGGCCGGGCGAGACACUAAUUAAAAAAAGUUUUCCCACUUUUUAUCUCAUGUUUUCAUAAUAAACAAUAAAAAAUAAAAGUGAAAACGAUAAUACAAGCCAUUCAGAAUGCCAUGAAUUUUAAGUAAGUAUCCUCCAAAAAGGAAAAGCAAGUGCGUGGAAAUGGCAACGUGAAUGUGCUGAUGCCACCGUAUUCGUGUAAUGUUUCCAAAAGAAUCAUUUCACAGUCAAAGAAGAAGACAACGACGAAAUGCUUGUCCUGUUUCUAUGUAGUUGAUGAAACACGCUCGCUGCUGAGAUAAGUCAUCUAACUACUUGUUCACUUAAUUUGUUCUUUGAAUCUUCCUAAAUUAAAUAAAUAUUUUAAUUAAAAAUUUGAUAAAAGUUCUUUUUAAACGGUAUAAAAUUAUUAUUUUAAACUAUAAACUUGUAAUUUUCGCUAUAGAUUAAUGGGAUGUAUUACCAAGUUAAUAAAGAUACAUUUUUUUUAUUAAAAACAAUUAUAUAAAUUUUAAAUAAUUUGAAAAAAAAAAACUUAUAUUUAUACAAAAUUGAUGCAUAAGUAUCAUAUUUUUGUUUUAUGUAAAUCAUGUUUAAGUUUAUAAAUUAUAAGGACAGAGUUUACUUAGAUAAUUUCAUUCAUUUAGAACAGAAUGCCUUUAAUUUUUAACUUCCGGUCAUUGUUGUUUUACCAAUCAAAAUUAAUCUUGUCAAAUUUUUAAUUACGAUACCAAAAUUUGCAGUGUAAUAUUAAGAAAAAGAAAAACACAUGCAAUUAGCACACGUAUUAUAUGAGAUUGAUUUUUAACCUUCUUUCAUUGUUGUUUUACUGAUCAAAUUUAGUCUUGUCAUAUUUUUAAUUAGAAUACCAAAUUUUGUAAUGUGAUAUUGAGAAAAAGAAAAACACAUGCAAUUUUGCACACACAUGACCGCAUAGAUUAUAUAUUGGGUACUAACUUUACAUCUUGUCAGAAUAUCAUCAUCUUAAUUAUCUAAGAAAACAUAUAUAAAUUUCUUUAGAUCAUGUUUGUCCACAAUAACAAUAAAGUAGAUAAGGUUGAAAACAUCUCACAUCAGUAGCUAGAUUUCUUCACAAUUUAUUUAGAACAGAAUGCCUUUGAUUUUUUAACCUUCUUCCAUUGUUGUUUUACUUAGCUUAUAAAAAUUAGUCUUGCAUAUUUUUUUUAGUUAUAAUACCAAACUUUGUAAUGUAAUAUUGAGAAAAGAGAAAAAACACAUGCAAUUGGUAUACACAUGACCACAUAGAUUAGAUACGAGGUACUAACUCCGUAGGUAGUCAAAAUAUUAUCAUCUUAAUUAUCUAAGAAAAACAUAUAUAGAUUUCUUUGAAUUCUGUUUGUUCAUAUAUAGUAAAAUAGAAAAGGUUUGAAAAAUCUGACAUCAGUACUUAGAUUUCUUCACAAUUUAUUUAGAACAGAGUGCCUUUCAUUUUUAACCUUCAUUCAUUGUUGUUUUACUUAUCAAAAUAAAUCUUGUCAGAUUUUUAAUUUUAUUACUAAAAUUUGUAAUGUAAUAUCAAGAAAAAGAAAAGCACAUACAAUUAGAUUUCAUUGGAUUCUGUUUGUCGAUAGUAAAGUAAAUAAGGUUAAAAAAUCUGACAUUAGUCUCCAACAAAAAAACAUGAUUUCAUUUUUCUUUCUGACACCAAUUCACAAAAUUAACAUAAAUCUCGAAUUUUGGUGAUGUAAGAUCGAGUCAUAAGAACUAAGAAUAAUAAUAAGAAAAAUUCUUUAAAAGACAAUUGUUGAAUUUAUGAAAACCCAUAUAUCAUCAAACAGACGCAACAAAUGAUUAAUUUCUUUGUACUGUUCAAAUAUAAUAUAAAUUAGCUAAAUAUUUUGUAAUAAAAAAAAAUUAAUGAAUAUUUCUAGUAUCAUAACAAACAAAUUCAUUAAAGAGGAAAAAACUCGUGCUCCAUUAUAUACGUGGCGACUGCAUGCAAGACCAACUUUGCAGCAAAACUACAAAACACUUUUCAUCAUCAAAAACGUUACAGAAGAUGAAGAAAAUUACAAAACGCUAAAAAAAGAAAGGAAAAAAAAAAAUUCCACACAGAGUAGAAGAGAGAAUAGAUUCAAAAUCGCAGGGCCACAAGACGAAAACUCCUGUCGGUCGUGGGACCCACAAGUCCACGUGUCCCGGCUGCAUGGCCACGUAUCCAUAAAGUACGAAGAAACGCACGAAGUUAGUUUCUUCUCUCCCAAAUUUUCCACUUAAAAUAUCGACUCAAAUUCGCAAGUACGUAUACCCCUCGAUAUCGAGUCAAUUCAAACGCAAGUUCAUGAAGAGUGCCAUUUUCUCGUGAGAUUCUUUUCUCGAGAAAAUGAUGAUGAAAGCCUAACUGAAAGGGGAGAAAAAAUAAAUAAUAAUAAGUUGAUAAAAAGACACAUGCGUUUGUACAUAAAUAGGCACUGUACUUCACUUGUCACCCAUCAACAAAAUCUUCGGCUGCACAGAAAACCCAGUUGCGCUUUCUCUCAACAAAAUGAAAAUGGCGAAGGUGAGCCCUGUUUUUGAAGGCAAGAUAAGCGGAGGAGGGGAAGAAGAUGAAGAAAAAGAAGCCGGGCGGUCGAGGAUGGCCAGGGAAAACGCGAAAGCCAGGAUACGUAACAUUAGAAGAGUGAGUGUCAGAGCUCGGCGUCCUUAUCAAAGAAGGAUGAUGACAAGAUCAAUGGCUGCGAUGAGUUCUUCUUCAUCAUCAUCACCACCACCAUCACCACUCGACACUAUCAAAGAGGACGAGCAGGAAGAGGAGGAUCAUCAAGAAAUGAACAAUAACAGUAAGGGUAAGGAGGAGGUGGUUGAACUUAAUGAAAAGGAGAAACAAGAAGUGAUUGUAAGUGAUGAAAAGGAGAGGGAGAAGGAGAAACAAGACGUGAUUGUAAAUGAUUCAAAGGAGAGGGAGAAGGAGAAACAAGACGUGAUUGUAAAUGAUGAAAAGAAGAGAGAGAAGGAGAAACAAGAAGUUAUUGUAAUUGAUGAAAAUGAGAGGGAGAAUGAGAAACACGAAGUGAUUGUAAUUGAUGUUGAUGAGGUAGAGGAUAAGCCUCAGGCUGAGGCGGAGGUGCCAGCGGCGGCUGGUGAUGGUGGUGUGAGGGAGAAGUACUAUUGUUGGCCAAAUGGGUGGUAUGAUGGGCUAGAUGAGUGGCCGAUGACGUGGAGCUAUGAGGAGGAGUGGCUUUGGUCGGGGAGGGGAUUAGGGUUUGGGCUGACUAAUCCUCAGUGGGAGUACAUUGACGGAGUGGGUUGGAUUGAUAAGAGACCCUGAGUCUGAGUGGUUAAAUGAAACCGGAGGUGCGUUCAUGUUCAAUUGUGUCCCCUAUAUAUAGAAGAGAAUCUCUGUCUUUAUUAAUAUGUCAGUAUGAUGUUUUGAGUAUAUAUGUAACUAAACAUAUGUAGCUAGCAAGCUAGUGUAUCAGUGCAUGUAGUUGGGUUAUAAAUAGUGUUUUGUUGUGUCGAAAUGUGAAUUUAGAUAUGCUUUAAUUAGUAAUUAUAUAAUUAACUAGCACAUUCAAUCUCUUUGCUGUUGACAUAUAAGGGGACAUUGAUUACAGCAUAUACAUAUACACAGGCUAAAUCCAACAUAUAUUAAUCUCUCGCAGCAACCUUCAAAUAUGAGAUUGAAAUGGGGUUUUGAAUUAUAUUUUGGUCAGUGAUUGCGUGAAAUGUCGAUAAUUCAAUGGAAAAACAUGUUAAUGGGCAUGUACGUCAACUAAUUAAUGAGGGUAAUGACAUAGGAACCAUGAUCUUCUAUCUUAAUAUUAUUAGAUAAGAUUGUAAAAAUAGUUAAAAUACGUUAAUCAUAAAUUGUUAUAAAUGCACAAAAUCAUAUAUGAUGUUUCGAAGUUUGUAGGAGAGUAUAUUCAUUUAUAUAGCGGCUCUAAAGUCAAAACAUUUUACAUUAGAUUUGAUUGUUUGGCAGCCUAACAUAUAUAUUUAGAUUUGGAUUCCUUGCUUUAAACUUGAAACCACUGUAUCAUUAUCCCCUAAUAAUUUGAUAGCUUACAUAUAUGCACAAAAUCAUAUAUGUGUAGUAGCCGAGCAUUUUAUUUGAUAGCUUUUAGUUAUCCUAUAAGCUGAUACAUACAAUUGUACAUAGUGUAUAUGGAUCAAUUUAUUAGACAAAUAAUUAACGAAAGAAUACCGUUAAAUAUUACUUUCUAUAUGCCUUUUAAGUAACUGAAAAAUCAAAACAAAAGAAUUUCAAUAACUGUUUUUAGUGAUUUUCUUUAGUUAAAAAAAUGACCGAGCAUGGGAAAUUUUUUUUAAUUACAAUAAAAUUUUUUUAUCAAAGAGAAUACCUAACUGUUUUUAACUAUAGUAAGAAAAAAAAAAUACUUCCAAGAUCAUGGGACAAAGGAUGAGAUCUCGAUAAAUUUGUGCGUAUAUAUCAGUAUAUGGAACGUCAUUCAUUCAUACAACCAAGCAUUUCAUUUUUUCAUAUAGAUGAGAAUUCCUGUAUUCUUGUAUUAAUUUAUCACGAGAAACUUUUUUUUUUUCAAUUUGGAUAAGACAAAUUAAGAUGCGUAAUUAAGCGUUGACUUAAAUUGGUAACAAAUUAAUUUUCAAUGAACUUAUAAAAAUAAUUCACAAGUGUAGUCUAAGCCUCUAAUUACUUGACAUAACCUACAUCCGUAUGAAUGAUUUUUUGCCAAAUUCCCGUGAGCAAUUCGGCAUUUGGAUGCUAGGUCAAUGUGGUCCUGAACAAGAAAUGCCUUAAUGUUAUAGUUAAAUGGUAAGAAGUAUUAAUUUUGUAGCUUGUUUAAGGAGUUGGAAUAUUGGCACACCUCUAACAUUCUCUUCAAACCCCCUUUAUGCAUAUAUAUAUUCUUUUUAAUUCAUAAAAUAACCUUCAUUUGCUGUACUUUCUUAAUAAACCAUGUGUUAGUAGUUUGAAAAAAAAUAUUAUUAGGCUCUCUCUCUCUCUCUCUCCUCUCUCCCAUUUCAAACCAUUUUUAAUUUCUUCUUUGUUACAUCAUUCAUGAAUUUUUAAUUUUUAUUCCCAUCUCUCUUUAUUUUCUUAGCAUGUAACAACUGGAGUGUACAUAUAAAGAUAAAUAAUGCAUAUAUGAAAGAAAAAACUUCGCAUAAGUAAACAAACUUCACAAAAUUAUUUUUUCUACAAAAAUUUAGUUUAUAUUUAGAUCAAAUCCUUAUUCCAUGACAAUUCACUGUUCAAACUUUGUAGAUUUAAUGAGUUUAUAAUAGAUAAAAAGGUAAAGAAAAUAUAGUUAGGUUUAAUUAGAUAAAUUUUAUUUUUAAUGUAAUUUAAAAUAUAAAGGAUAAAUUUGUAAAUUCAAAGCAAGAGGGGUUUCAAAAGAGAUAUGGAGGGGUGCCAAUAGCGUAACUCUUGUUAAAGUUCUGAAGUGCGCGAUUUUGAAUAUUCUAAGCUUGCAUUUGUAAUAUGAGCUUUCAUAUAUAUAUAUAUAUAUAUAUAUAUAUAUAUAUAUAUAUAUAUAUGUUGAUAGAAAUUAUUUGAAUGGCGGUUAUGACUGUAAUAUGAACAAAAACUGUUAUACACAGCCGCAAACCACUAACAUAUUGCAAGGAAUAUAUGUGUGUGAUAGUAUAAAUAAAACAAACAUAGGAUCGAAUAUACGUACAUUAGUGUUUCUGUAAGCUAAGAAAUAAUAAAAGAAAUUGCCUCACGGCUUUAUAAAAUGUUAUAAUUUUCUUAUUGUCAAAAUACUUAAAUAGACAGAUAGACGCUCAUAACCCCUUGAUUGGAUUCCCUUAACUUUAAAGCAAUUUAUCCACUCAUACAAGAUAAAAGCAAAUUCUAAAUUGAAAAGCGUUACCAUUACAACCCGGCUUUCCAUUCUACUGUGACAAGGAUUACUCCUUGUUUUCCUAAUUAUUUUCUCUUCUGCAUUAAUUUAUGAUUUCCUUUAAGACUACUUAUAUAUAAAAUUGUAAUGUCAUCGAGGCAAAGCUAUUUCUCAAGCAAUCAAUCGAUAAAACUUUCAGGCUUUGGCAAAUUUGAAGGUCGAUCCCCUCGCUCGAAGUGAUCAAAGGAUAUAGUUUAGUGGAAUUUGACGUGGCACCCCCUGCUUUCCUCAUCGUCAGCUGCUGGUGGCCUUGACAGAAUCAGACAUCACUUAAGGGCCCCUGCGUGGUUUUGAUAUAGUUAGAGAUAGAGAAACUGGAAAGUCCAGGGGCUAUGCGUUCUGUGUUUACCAACAUCUUUCAGUUUCAGUGAUUGCAUGCGCUACCCUGAAUGGGAUAAAAUUGGGAGAUAAGGCUCUCACUGUUAGACGGGCAAAUCUAGAUUGCCUCGGGGAGGAGGGGCGAAAAAUGUUAAAGAAGGUGAGGAUGAUAGAAUGGUCUACAAGGUAGGGUCGAUACAAUUCUCCGAAUUCUAAUUGAAAGGCCCAUUCAAGUCGAGAUUCAAUAUAAAAUUUUAUCCCAAAUUUAAAAUCUAGAUUGAGAUUCGGAACUCAAUUUUAUUUGGAUUUACUGUUCAGGACAUUUGAAAUCCUGAUUGGGAUCCUAAAUAUUUUCAAAUCAGGGCCUUUAGAAGCAUCUGACAAGUUGGUUUGAUCAAGUAUAUAAUUUAAUUUAUUAUUUUAAAAUCAGGGUCUUUAGAAGCAUAUGAUAAAUAGAUUUGAUUAAAUAAAUAAUCUAAUAUGUCGGUCAUAUGAAUAUGACAAGUCCAUUUAAUAAACAUGAAGCAUAUGACACAUCGAUCAUAAGUGUAUGGCAUGUUGUUUAUUACAGAAUCUACUGUGUACGACAAUAAACUCACAUCAUCCAAGACAUUCAGGGAUCAUAAUAUAUUUUUUAUCUUGAUUUACUGUUCACAACAAUAUUUAUGAUUUUUUUUUUAUUCCAUUUGAUGUCUCUAUUAGCAUUAGGAUUUUGUUUUAGGAUUUUAUUUUAUUUUGUUAAUGUUUUUGUUUGGAUUUUAAUUUACGAUUUCAAUUAUUAUUUGGUAUUUCCCUUGUAACCCUAUUAAUAGCGAUGUCCUUGGACUUUCAAAUUCAAAUUUAAAAAAAAAAAAAAGGAUGAUGCCAUAUAUCAGAAGGUAUUGUUUAAUUGGGGAUUAUUCCAUUAUUACUAGAAAAUGCUGAUGGCCGAGUGUAAACUUCUUGAAAAUGACAAGAACUCGUUUGUAAAACACAACCCUCAAGUUUGGAUUGGGAUGGGAGUUAGGAGAUGCUAAAGUCAAUUUCAUACAAAAUUGAAAAUUUCAAUAAAUUACAGAGAAACUUAUCAAAUUUUGAAAAACCUUAAAAGCGAUGUUUGUUUGAAUAUGACCAUUUAGCUUAUUUUGUCACCGAUUUUUUUUCAGACAUAUUUCUUUUAUUAAAUAAUACCUAAAAAUAAAUUAAUUACAGAGAACUUAAAUAUCACAAACCGCCAAACUUGCUCUUUCUAUCCUAAAUAUUGUUACGGACUGUUAACCAAUUUCUUGCACUAUACAUAAUAGAUGUCUUGUUUAAAUUCUUUGACCAGAUAUUUAACGAAGAUGGAUGAGAGGAGAGAGAAAGCGUGUAUUAAUGAUAAAAAGUAAAAAGAUUAAUGUCAUUUAAUUUAUUAAAUCCUCACCGUUGAUAUGUUUUAAAUCUAAAGGCUUAAAAUUAAUAUAAAAUUAAGUAUAAUUUUAGAGGGACGGACUUACCACUUGAGCUUGACUCCUACGUGUCAGUUUAAUGACCUUUUGAUAUCCUUUCAUUUCAAUCUAAUGGUCUGUUUACAACAAGAAAAACUAACAUCAAGGAGUUGCUUUCGUCUCUCUUACACUGUCGCCAAAGACUUCAUUCGUUGACGGGAAGGCGAAGCAAAAUGUUCUGAAUCAAGAGAGGGUGUGUGAAACAUUUCAAGCAUCGGAGAUAAUUUAUAAUCAAUGCAGUAAGAGAGACUAAAGAAAGCAUACAGUUCUUCUUAUCACCAACUUUAUCUCGUUAAAGGGAUGUCCACAAGUGUAGCUAUCGAAGAUUCAUCACUGACCUAUGGGCACACUUUUUGAAGAUUGUUUAGAUAAAACAUGAUCCACUAAACUUUGGGCUGAUAAAUGAUGAAAAACAAGUAAGCCACUGACAGGACAAACUUAAUUAUCUUUAUGAUAUGUAGAUUUGAGUUCUUGGUCCAAUUUAAAUCAACUAAAGUAGCAUGUACAGUGAAGUGGCUCAGGCUGUUAAUUAAAAAACUAAUCUUAGUUUUUGGAGUGAGACUAAUCCUCAAUUUAAUAUGUUUACUUAAUUAUAAGCUGGGAUGUCAGAAUUAUGAUCUGGGUUUGAAUUCUGAGAGUAAAUUGACGCAAUAGAAAGUGAAUGUACCGUGCCUUCAUUGGCCGAAGAUUUUGAAUUCUUCAAAGAAUCAGAUGUUCUUUUUGUUUAUAAUUGGACAUUUUGCAGGUCAUGACACGAGGUAACACACUGAAAAUUGCAGAGCAUUUUCAUCAUCUUCAUGAAUAAUACGUUUGGCUAUCCAAAUUAAAGCGAUCGAUUCUCCAAGGAGCUUGGAAUCCGGCACAGGUUUUGAGGGUUCAUUUGUAUUUAUUAUUUAUAAUUUGAUUGUUCUUCAAUUGGGUGCUCAAUACCUACAGCUCCACAACAGAGAAAUUAUGACCAACGAAUGAUAGAGAUGAUUGGCAAGAAUCAUAAAACUACUCUUUUAAUUCCAGUAAUUCUCACUCAUUAAACUGAACAUCCGAGACCCAGAUUAAUGAAACUGAAAACAAAGGAUUCAAUUAUUAAAAUAUAUAUAAAAAAAAAAAGCCAAAGUCGGGGAGAAAACCAAAAAAGUUUGAGCAGCAGCAACAGCAGCCUAAGUACAAAUUAAACGCAAACCGAACCCCCAUUGAUCGAAUGAUCAUUAUGGGGGUUACACAUAAUAAUAAUCAACAAUAUUGCAUGGGUGGUUACACAAAUUUAAUUGGGAACCUAGACGCCUGGUGGCUUGGCAGCAAGGAAACUGAUGCACUGCACUUGACGCUUGUUGUCAAAUCCGAUAAUUCGGACGAAUGAAUGUGGGUAUUCCUUCUGGACCUCCCCAACCUCCUUCAAAACCUGGGUUGCAUCUGUGCACCCAUACAUGGGCAGCUUCCACAUUGUCCAGUAGCGUCCAUCGUAGUAUCCUGGUGAGCUGUGGUGCUCACGGUACACCCAUCCUUUCUGCAGUCACGCCACCCAAAAGAAAAAACAAAAAAAAAAAAAUCAAAUAUCACCACCCAUUUGCCUGAUAAAAUCCGCUUAACCCAAAAGCUUAGAUUUUAAGUAAGCAAUUGUUAAUGCAGGUUUUGAUAUUGAAUGGAUAUCUCUGACCAAUAGAUUCAUGACAUGUGUAAUUUUUCUCCUAAAGCACAUAGAUAAGGUUCCGUCAAAAUAAUAGUAUAUAUUAAGAGAGACAGAGAGAGAGAGAGAGAGAGAGAGAAAUGACCUCCAACUCGAAUUCCAAGCAGGGAAUCCAGCCGGAGCGGAGAAGGUAACUGAUUUCCUUGAGCAAAGCUUCAUCGGACAGUGGCGGGAGGUAUGAGAGAGUCUCGAACUUCUUCAAGCCAGUUGGUGGCCACACCUGUAACAUACAAGCUCACAAGAAAAUUAAUUAAAAACAUAAUUGAGAGCUAAAAGAAGAAAGCCGUCAAUUUAAAGAAGCAAAAGAAGAAAUGAAUUCUUGUAUGAUUAUGAUGAUGACCUUCAUGCAUUGGACUCUUCCGCCGUUGCUUGCAAUGGAAGUAAUGUCAUUGUUGGUCUUCUUGGUUGCUGGGAAAGCAGAAGAAGACUUGAGGCCGGUGAAGGGGGCGACCAUGCUGGCCUGAGCAAGGCUGGCGCGGUUCGCGGUGGCAACGGUGGUCGAUGAGAUCAUUGAGGAAGCCAUUGGUACUUGCUCCUUCUUCUAGCUUUGCAAGUUCUUUUACUUAAUAGGAGGAUGCUCAGUGGCCAGUUG